GGGCCCGCACAAGCGGUGGAGUAUGUGGUUUAAUUCGAUGCAACGCGAAGAACCUUACCAGGGUUUGACAUCCUGCGAAUCUCUUGGAAACGAGAGAGUGCCUUCGGGAGCGCAGUGACAGGUGGUGCAUGGCUGUCGUCAGCUCGUGUCGUGAGAUGUUGGGUUAAGUCCCGCAACGAGCGCAACCCACGUCUUUAGUUGCCAGCAUUUAGUUGGGCACUCUAGAGAGACCGCCGGUGAUAAACCGGAGGAAGGUGUGGAUGACGUCAAGUCAUCAUGCCCCUUACAUCCUGGGCUACACACGUACUACAAUGCUACGGACAAAGGGCAGCAAGUUCGCGAGGAC
rnacentral:rRNA from 1 species